UAAAGUUUAAAUCUAUUUUUAGUUUCAUUACUGACUUUCCGAAAAUCUCUCUUAAUAGGUAAUUGAAAUGUACCGGAUUUAGAAAGUUUUGAAGUGUAAUUAUUUUGAUGUUAAAAUUGACACUUACGGUAUUUAUAUAAAAUAUUCUACCUUCUACCUCAUAAAAAACUUUCUUUUCUUUUUCAGAUUCAACAUCAAAGGUUGAUGUGUUGACCUUGUAUGAGUUAACAACUACCUGAACUAUUUUUACAGUCAACAUGUGCAUGAUAUGGAAUGUAAACAAAUGAAUAAUUCUAGGAUUUUUUAUAUUUGAAACAUCAUAUACAGGAUUUACAUUGCAAUAUAGUGUGGAUACAUCAUUAUAUAGUGAAAUUGAUAUUCCAACUGAUUUUAACCAUUUAUGGAAAUUUAUAAAUUGACCUACUAGAUGAAUGGACUUUGACAGUAUAUCAAUCACAAACUUAGAACUAUAAAAUUGAAUUAGUUUACUGCCUAUCUGCGAUCCAUAUAAGUGAAUUAUAUUGAACAUAUCAACAAAAUCUUUUAAAGUGAUUCUGAUGCUUUUACAGUUCAUGAAUGCAGUACCAGUUUCAAGCGACUUAUAAAGUGUUUGUUUCCGAUAGAGUUUUUGUCUCUUUAUUCAAAAGAUUGUGUUUACAUUCUAAACAGUCUUCAUAUAGACUUUUAUCUGUGUU
rnacentral:lncRNA from 1 species